GAGGUCGGGAGAGGGAUGCGGAAUUCCAGGUGUAGCGGUGAAAUGCGUAGAUAUCUGGAGGAACGCCGGUGGCGAAGGCGGCAUCCUGGACCAACACUGACACUGAGGAGCGAAAGCCAGGGGAGCAAACGGGAUUAGAUACCCCGGUAGUCCUGGCCCUAAACGAUGAAUGCUUGGUGUGGCGGGUAUCGAUCCCUGCCGUGCCGAAGCUAACGCAUUAAGCAUUCCGCCUGGGGAGUACGGUCGCAAGGCUGAAACUCAAAUGAAUUGACGG
rnacentral:rRNA from 1 species